UACGAAGGGGGCUAGCGUUGCUCGGAAUCACUGGGCGUAAAGCGCACGUAGGCGGCUUUUUAAGUCAGGGGUGAAAUCCUGGAGCUCAACUCCAGAACUGCCUUUGAUACUGGGAGCUCGAGUCCGGGAGAGGUGAGUGGAACUCCGAGUGUAGAGGUGAAAUUCGUAGAUAUUCGGAAGAACACCAGUGGCGAAGGCGGCUCACUGGCCCGGUACUGACGCUGAGGUGCGAAAGCGUGGGGAGCAAACAGG
rnacentral:rRNA from 1 species